UGGAGGCGACACGUCAUGUGCCUUUGACGCACCCUUUCAUUUAUUCGACGUACAUUUGGGCUUGAAUCGUUUAUUUGGUGUGUUUGGGCCUCCGAGAUUGUGUCGCCUCACGGCCCUUCAGUUGCAGUAGCCUCUAACCCUAAUACAAUUGGAUCAAUGACGAGCAGUUCGGGUCUCCUCUUCAUGCGGCGGCGAUCCGAUGACCUCUGCACUUCUUCUCACGACCUGAAACGGUGUGAUUAAUAACUCACUCAUAAAUCCAAUUUAUUGGCUCCACCACGAUGUCUUCAAAUCAUCCUUUCGAUUUUGGAGACGGUGACAUGAUCUGUAUAAAUAGAGAAGGUGGUGGAGGAGGAGCAGCGUCGUCGUGGCGGCGAUCCGUGUUGUGGAGAAGUGAGAGAUUGGUUUGAGGAGAGGGAAGGUGAGAGGUUGAACAGAGUGAGAUCGGAUAGUGGGAAGAGACUGGAGAGAGAUGGUUGGUGGCGGAGAUCUCGAUGAGAUACCGCGGAGGAGAGACAGGCAUGAGGGAUGGUGGUGGAAGAAUGAAGCGGUGGUGGAGAGAGAGAGAGAGUGAAGUGUGAAGCUCUCCAUCGCCGGAGACUAGAGAGAUGUGCGAAGUUUUUUAGUUUUCUUGGUCAGUGACUGUGUGUCUGUUCUAUGACCGAAGAGCUAUGGAUGAGUCGUGGAUGUGAAGAAGACAAUUAAAUUAUUAAACCUAAUCUAAAAAGUCUUCGGUUCUUUUUUUUAACCGACUUAAUAUUUUCACUUUAGGUCUUUAAUUCUUUGUUUUAUACUAGGAUUUAAUUUUGGUAAGUUAUUAAAUAUUAUAUCAGAUUUUCAAUUUUUUUAAAAA